GCAAAGAACAUAACAUAACCCAAUUCUUAAAACUUGGGAGGGUGUAAGUUGUUUGGUGUAAAAUGUUUAGAUUCUUUUAAGCACUGAGCAAACUCAAGAGCUUUUCUCCCUCCUGUUUUUCUUUUUAGAUACUUUUGAAUGAACUCUGCAUGAUCACUGUCCCUUUUGUAAAAUCUGUUGUUUGUUUCUGACCCAAUUUUUAAGCAAUUCCUCAUCUCUGAAGCCUAUUUACACUGUUCUGUGAGCUUUAUUUUCUUGUACUUCUGCUUGUCCCUGCCACACUUUCUUGCAAGCUUUUAAGGUAGUAGACUUAAAUAAUUUUUCACCUUUUAACUGAUUAAUCAGAUGUUCCUUGAAAACUGUUUUAAUUUAAACAACUAUGGAGUUAGUUUAGAUAUACACAUACAUUAAUAAAAUCAGUAUCUGAACUUUGUGUUAGGCUCACAGUUAUUUAACAGAAAACUCACUGAAUUAAGAUUUUUGUCUUCACGUUGUAUUUUGGAUUGAACAUUAAAUGUAUUAGACCUGGUUUAAGUUUCAUGCUGUUUAUGAAAUGUGUCCAUGUAUGGACUCAAAGGUAUGAAUGGUGAUUGUUUCAGUUCCAGUUUUUGUAAGAAUACCCAUUUCCUAUGCCGUGACUUUGUAAUAUUAACAAUAGAUAGUGUGUAGGAGAGGAAGUCUGAGAUUAGGAACAACCUGGCAAAGCUCCAGCAGUAAAGCUCCACUUGUUUCUUACCUAAAUAAAGGGAAGGAAGUCUCCUGUCACUCUGCUUGGCUCUGUGGUCAGGGUCAGGUACAUUACAGCACCAUCUCUUUUUUUAAACAUUCUUGCUUUGUUUUCAAGAUAAGCAUAAAUUGUGGCAGUUUCAUUACUGCAGUUGUAUCUUGAAAUCUGAAAUUUCCCUCACCUAUCAGGUUAUUUGCAUCAAUAGAAAACACUGUUGUUUCAUUUAGGGUUCUGGGUUUUGAUUUAUUUGCAGUGUGGCAGGUUUUAACAUGACUGGUAGUCCUGCUGAAGAUGCAGUAGAGAGCAGACUGCCUUUACAUGCCUAAGAGUGCAGUUUUUACUGUGACUGAGUAAGCCAAAACAUCUAGCUAACAAUUUUUUUUCCUCUUCGUCUUGCGGAGCAGACCCAGGGACUCUGACCAUUGCAGAGCUGCUGGCGUGCGCCCAGCGCUGCACUACGAAACGCCUCCUUCCUGGGGCUCCAAAGCCAGUCUGGUUCCUCUGCCUGCUUUUACGGCUACAGCUUCACCUCAUGGUGUCUCAGCUGAUGGAUGGAGACACAUUUGCCUGUUUCUGUCCCCUUGGUCCACAUGCUGGCACCCACUCUCAGGCCCUUCCUGGUGCAGCUAAACAAAAAGGGACGUGGAAGAGGAGAAGUACUUCUGCUUCACUGGCUGCUUUUGCUGUCAGCAGCAUGCUCAAGGGCAGGGCCACAUCUUAAAUGAUUGGUUUUAGAUUGGUCAAGUUCCUUGAACAACAACCUGCCUCUCAUCCCGGCUCCUUCUCACACAGCGGUUAAAACUUGGCAUUGAGGAUGACAUCAGGCCAAAAGCAAACAUACAAUGCACAUGGGGACUGCUGGUUGUGAGCCCUACUUGUACUCGCUUGGGGAAACGGAGGAUCCUGCCAGUCAGAAGCACACAGAACGAGUUGCACAGGUCUUCUGCAGAGGGGAACGGUGAAACCCACAGCACUGAGCUGCAAGUACAAUCAACAGCCCCUUCAAGAUGCGUUAACAAAUACAUGACACUGCCCUUUUAUUUUUAUAUAUAUAAUAUAUGCAUACGUCCCCCCUUACCACAGGUGAGAUCUGGUGUGUUUUACACUAACAGCAGUAGCAGGAUGUUGGUAAUUAGGCUCUGUUUCAAAUUGCCCUGCUGAGUAAAUCAUGGCCUCAGUAUUGGACACAGGAAAUGCAAACUGGAAGACUCUUCCAAAAUAUCAAAUCUGAUUGUAAUUAAACUGUUUGGUUUCCUGGCAAAAUCUACAUCAGAAAACCUCUCCAUGUACAUGCAUUUUUUAUUAACAAAAAAACCCCCCUUUAUCUUAAUGUAUCUUUCUGCAAGUUAAAUCAGUUAUGCUAGAAAAAGUGCUGGUACUGUUCUGUGCUACCCAAGUGCUAAAGUUUGCAGAGCUACUCCAGAGUAUUUUUUACUCUGUAGCUACUCCAGUGUGUCUUAGGCUCGUUAGCUGGGUAAUUGCUCUGGUAUUGUCAGCAGUGUUCAUGCAGGGAGCCAGACUGAUGUAACUAUUCCAGAACAACUCUUGCCAAUAAGAUCAUACUGUAUUAAGCAAUUUUUUUUUUUUCCUUUUUGCAAUUUUGGACUUUUAUUCUGAAGGACCAGAGCAGAUCAAGUCCCAGUUUAUUUUACAUGACUAUUUUAGGACUUAUUUAUCCCACAGAUUUCGGCCAAAAAUCAUCUUCCAAAUCUGUCUUGAGUAACUAAGUCUUGAAGACUGGCUGUUCUGUCCUUUAAAUGUUACCACCAUUUCCACGAAUGUGAACUUGUUUCCUAAUUCACUGAUGUGCAAAGUCAGCUGCAUCAGGAAACCUCAUUCCCAUCAGCAGUUUGGGCUCCUGAGACGACCGAUGCCGGUGUCCCCGUGUGCUUGGUCCCACGGCCCCCCCGGCGGGGGCACCCCGAGCCCCGUGAAGAACCUGCCAUGAGCAGCCAUAGCGUGGCCACUCCUGACACGGCUCCAGGCAUCCGCAGGACACUCGCCUCCUCCCCGGGCCCUGCUGCAAGCCAGGGGGAGCAUGGCCAGCGCUGCCGGUCGGUCCCAUGCCGCUGGCUUCGCUCCAAGGGAAGAACCUCUGAGGCACAAACAACGGUGCAGGUUUUUUGGUUACUGCAGCUGGUUUUGAAAUGAAUGUCUGAGCACUCGUCUACUGUAGACGUUCACAGAGCUUUCUUGCCAGUAAAAUUACAUCAGCUUAUAAAACAACAUGAACUAAGCUGACAGAAGUUCUUUUUUUUUUUUUUGCUAGCAGACUGUGUCCACAUCAGAGGUUUUGCUGGCCUGGGUGGUGUGCUGACACAGCUAUUCUGGUGAAACUGUAAUACACACCCCGUCUUUGUAUUGAAUAAACCCGGUCACAGCUGGCUCCAGAGGACAGUCUUGGCGUGAGUUCUGAGGUGCCAACCAAAGUCUAAAAACCAUCAGCCACCUGAGAAACAAACAGCUCUGGAAUGCACACAGAUAAAAACCAGUCUUAAGCAUUGACCCCUUUGUCAAAAAGCACAAUACAUUCAGUGAAGUAUACCUUUCCAGAAGUUCUUGAAAAUUAGGUUAGUAAAGAACUAUCGGGAAGAGCCUCAGAUAAAAAGUCUAUCAAACAAUAUCCAGUGGCCACAAGUGCUCAUACAAAUUAACUUGUGUGACAGUGUUUUUUGAAGUGUAAAUGUGUGUGAUGCACACGUAUACCUUUGUAUGGUGAAACUUCAUGCAACAUGUUUACUCUUUCAUCGUAUUCUUUGUUCUCCAUUAUUUAUUUUGGAGGAACAGAAGCUUUCUUUUUAUAUAUGGCUCUUCUUCACAGAAGUAUAUGAAAGCAACGAGCCGUAGUUAACGACAGCUUGAAGUCUCCUUGCACAGUGCCCACCCAGAGAGCAGGAGCCAUGAACACUCCUCCUUGUCUGCACUGUGCAGUCGUUAUUCACUUCCCAGAAACCCUGAGACUCUUCCAGGGAAUCCCCAAGGUUUUAUUCCCAAGGUAUUAGAUGCUCGUUAUCUAGGGGCACAUUUGGAAGUGCAUUUAUUUCUUCUGAUCCGUUUGCUUGGCUUUCCACUGAAAUAUAAAUUGAAUUUGCUGCUAGAAAAUGUGUGACAAAUAGGGUAUACUCACAGUACUGUACGUUUAUAAAUCCUUCAGUUGAACAAAAAAACCUGUACUAUUCAAAAACGUUUGAACAGCACAUGAAAUUGAGGUAAAAUAAUGUAAUUGUCUUAUUUUUUCUAAUCUAUGAUCUUGUAAUUAGAAGGAAGAAGUAAUGAUAAGGUAGCUUUCUAGGUCACAUUUGUGGUUUGGUUCCUUUAUCACUUAGUCCAAUCCCACAGAGAUGGAAGUGUCAUUGUCUUCCAUGGACUUGAACACACUGAACCAUUUUCUGUAAAAGCUGGUGGUCAUAUCCUAUUUUGUAUCCAAAGAAGGAAGUUACUAUCUUCUAAACAAAGAAUAACAACAACAGUACUAUCAGAAUUUCUUCUUCCAGUUUUACUUGCUUCCAGAUUAGUGGGGAAAGAUGCUUUAGCCUACACCAGGUGGUACAAUAGCAGCUAACUGUAUUAUUCAGUAAAAGUGCAGCUGAAAUAGUGUCAUCUUGCUGAAGAUGACAAUUGUAGCUGCAGUAAAUACCACUUACGUUUAGAAGAGAUGUGUAUAUUCUUAUGCGUGAGAUGCCACAUGGCAGUGGUCUGACUGAUGCAGAGGAGAUGUCACUGUGCAGGAGCUCACCUGAGCCUUGCCCUGAAGAGGCACGUCACCUGGGAAGGAAGGAUGUAGGUGCACUUUCACUCAGGGGUAUAGAGCCUGGAGGAAGCAAAAAAGCCCUUGUAAAGGCUGCAUGGAAAAUCACUCCAGUUCAUUAUCUGUACAAUAACUAUAUACACACACACGCACAAUCAGCUCGUAGCCAAAGGUUUUAAACAAGGAAAUUGCAGGAAAAAGAAGAUCUGUGGUAUCUGCCUAACUCUGGAGCAGGUGCCAUCGUUAGCUCAGCUGCCUGAGGUAGUAAAACCGCUGGCAAGUGAUCCGGUAAGGAAGCAGCAAAAGAAUGGUACAAAAGAUAGCAUGGAAAAUUCUUAGGGAAGGGAAGCAUAAACAAGUCUCAGGAGUACUGGGUUUCCUGACCAGAAGUACAGCAGAUGUGGAAAAAAAAAAACAACCAAACCCACAAACCAAGGAGGAGAUCUGCCUAGCCAA